GAAAUGCGAUAAGUAAUGUGAAUUGCAGAAUUCAGUGAAUCAUCGAAUCUUUGAACGCAAAUUGCGCCUAUUAGUAUUCUAGUAGGCAUGCCUGUUCGAGCGUCAUUUCAACCCUCAAGCCCUGGUUGCUUGGUGUUGGGAGCUUGCUGUGAAACGCAACUCCUCAAAGCUAGCUGGCAGAGUCGGGAUGCACUCUAAGCGUAGUAAACUUGAUAGUCUCGCUUCUGCAGUUGUCCCGGCCGUCUUGCUAUAAAAGCCCAAACUUUUUUGUUUUCUAUGGUUGACCUCGGAUCAGGUAGGAAUACCCGCUGAACUUAAGC
rnacentral:misc_RNA from 1 species